GUUGAACGCUGGCGGCAGGCCUAACACAUGCAAGUCGAGCGGAUGAAGGGAGCUUGCUCCUGGAUUCAGCGGCGGACGGGUGAGUAAUGCCUAGGAAUCUGCCUGGUAGUGGGGGAUAACGUCCGGAAGCGGGCGCUAAUACCGCAUACGUCCUGAGGGAGAAAGUGGGGGAUCUUCGGACCUCACGCUAUCAGAUGAGCCUAGGUCGGAUUAGCUAGUUGGUGGGGUAAAGGCCUACCAAGGCGACGAUCCGUAACUGGUCUGAGAGGAUGAUCAGUCACACUGGAACUGAGACACGGUCCAGACUCCUACGGGAGGCAGCAGUGGGGAAUAUUGGACAAUGGGCGAAAGCCUGAUCCAGCCAUGCCGCGUGUGUGAAGAAGGUCUUCGGAUUGUAAAGCACUUUAAGUUGGGAGGAAGGGCAGUAAGUUAAUACCUUGCUGUUUUGACGUUACCAACAGAAUAAGCACCGGCUAACUUCGUG
rnacentral:rRNA from 1 species